rnacentral:rRNA from 1 species
ACGCUAGCGGCAGGCCUAAUACAUGCAAGUCNAGGGGCAGUCCCGUUUUCGGACGGGAGCGACCGGCGCACGGGUGCGUAACGCGUAUGCAACCUACCCACAACUGGGGGAUAGCCCGGAGAAAUCCGGAUUAAUACCCCAUAAUGCAUUGGUUUCGCAUGAAACUAUUUGCUAAAGAUUUAUUGGUUGUGGAUGGGCAUGCGUCUGAUUAGUUAGUUGGUGAGGUAACGGCUCACCAAGGCAACGAUCAGUAGGGGGUCUGAGAGGAUGAUCCCCCACACUGGUACUGAGAUACGGACCAGACUCCUACGGGAGGCAGCAGUAGGGAAUAUUGGUCAAUGGGCGCAAGCCUGAACCAGCCAUGCCGCGUGCAGGAUGACGGCCUUCUGGGUUGUAAACUGCUUUUAUCAGGGAAGAAAAUGGUCAUGCGUGACAAAUUGACGGUACCUGAAGAAUAAGCACCGGCUAACUCCGUGCCAGCAGCCGCGGUAAUACGGAGGGUGCAAGCGUUGUCCGGAUUUAUUGGGUUUAAAGGGUGCGUAGGCGGAUUAUUAAGUCAGUGGUGAAAGUUUGCGGCUCAACCGUAAAAGUGCCAUUGAUACUGGUAGUCUUGAGUACAGUAGAGGUAGGCGGAAUUUAUGGUGUAGCGGUGAAAUGCAUAGAUACCAUAAAGAACACCGAUAGCGAAGGCAGCUUACUAUACUGUAACUGACGCUGAGGCACGAAAGCGUGGGGAGCGAACAGGAUUAGAUACCCUGGUAGUCCACGCUGUAAACGAUGAAGACUCGCUGUUGGCGAUACACAGUCAGUGGCCAAGCGAAAGCGUUAAGUCUUC